rfam:HIV-1 isolate 00BW3842.8 from Botswana, complete genome.
UUUUUUAGGGAAGAUUUGGCCUUCCCGCGGAGGAAGGCCAGGGAAUUUCCUU